rnacentral:rRNA from 1 species
UACCAGCACCCCGAGUGGUCGGGACGAUUAUUGGGCCUAAAGCAUCCGUAGCCGGUUUUACAAGUCCUCCGUUAAAUCCAGCUGCUUAACAGAUGGGCUGCGGAGGAUACUAUAAGACUAGGAGGCAGGAGAGGCAAGCGGUACUCAGUGGGUAGGGGUAAAACCCGUUGAUCCAUUGAAGACCACCAGUGGCGAAGGCGGCUUGCCAGAAUGCGCUCGACGGUGAGGGAUGAAAGCUGGGGGAGCAAACCGG